GCGGCCGUAGUUCAGCUGGAUAGAGCACCUGGCUUCGAACCAGGGAGUCGGGAGUUCGAAUCUCUCCGGCCGCA
rnacentral:tRNA from 1 species